AUUGAACGCUGGCGGCAUGCCUUACACAUGCAAGUCGAACGGCAGCACGGGAGCAAUCCUGGUGGCGAGUGGCGAACGGGUGAGUAAUAUAUCGGAACGUGCCCAGUCGUGGGGGAUAACGUAGCGAAAGCUACGCUAAUACCGCAUACGAUCUAUGGAUGAAAGCGGGGGAUCGCAAGACCUCGCGCGAUUGGAGCGGCCGAUAGCAGAUUAGGUAGCUGGUGGGGUGAAGGCUCACCAAGCCGACGAUCUGUAGCUGGUCUGAGAGGACGACCAGCCACACUGGGACUGAGACACGGCCCAGAGUCCGACGGGAGGCAGCAGUGGGGAAUGUUGGACAAUGGGCGCAAGUCUGAUCCAGAAAUGCCGCGUGCAGGAUGAAGGCCUUCGGGUUGUAAACUGCUUUUGUACGGAGCGAAAAGGCUUCCACUAAUACUGGGGGCUCAUGACGGUACCGUAAGAAUAAGCACCGGCUAACUACGUGCCAGCAGCCGCCGUAACAC
rnacentral:rRNA from 1 species